AUUUAUGUCUGAAUUAGCUGGCUACUCUUUCUAAAGACUUCGGUCAUCAGUGCAGAGAGGUAGCCAAGCCUGCUGUGAGGAUUAGAGCACCAUGAGCUACCUGCCUAUGUCAGAAAAGAUGAGAUGAAGCCCCCUUGAAAUCUGAAAGGUGACAUGUAUUUUGCCACAAAACUCUCUCAUCCAAAUAAGACAAGGAAUUAUUUUCUUUUCCAAGCCUGGUCUGAAGCAAGGAAGUGCUCUCCUGAAAGCCUAUGGUCUUCUGUCACUCUUCAUUCAUAUACUUGUUUCUGUCUUGUUUCCCUUACUUCUUAACUUCUGGAAGCCCAAUCUUC
rnacentral:lncRNA from 1 species